GACGAACGCUGGCGGCGUGCUUAACACAUGCAAGUCGAACGGAAAGGCCCUGCUUUUGUGCGGUGCUCGAGUGGCGAACGGGUGAGUAACACGUGAGUAACCUGCCCUUGACUUUGGGAUAACUUCAGGAAACUGGGGCUAAUACCGGAUAGGAGCUCCUGCUGCAUGGUGGGGGUUGGAAAGUUUCGGCGGUUGGGGAUGGACUCGCGGCUUAUCAGCUUGUUGGUGGGGUAGUGGCUUACCAAGGCUUUGACGGGUAGGCGGCCUGGGAGGGUGACCGGCGACAUGGGUACUGCGGUACGGACCAGAAGCCUACGGGAGGCAGCGGUGGGAAGUAUUGCACAAUGGGCGGAAGCCUGAUGCAGCAACGCCGCGUGCGGGAUGACGGCCUUCGAGUUGUAAACAACUUUGGACGGAAACAAGGCGUGAGUGACGGUAAUGGGUAAAGAAGCACCGGCUAACUACGUG
rnacentral:rRNA from 1 species